GACGAACGCUGGCGGCGCGCCUAACACAUGCAAGUCGAACGGAGCUGAGAGGAGCUUGCUUUUCUCAGCUUAGUGGCGAACGGGUGAGUAACGCGUGAGUAACCUGCCCUGGAGUGGGGGACAACAGUUGGAAACGACUGCUAAUACCGCAUAAGCCCACGGAUCCGCAUGGAUCUGCGGGAAAAGGAUUUAUUCGCUUCAGGAUGGACUCGCGUCCAAUUAGCUAGUUGGUGAGGUAACGGCCCACCAAGGCGACGAUUGGUAGCCGGACUGAGAGGUUGAACGGCCACAUUGGGACUGAGACACGGCCCAGACUCCUACGGGAGGCAGCAGUGGGGGAUAUUGCACAAUGGGGGAAACCCUGAUGCAGCGACGCCGCGUGGAGGAAGAAGGUUUUCGGAUUGUAAACUCCUGUCGUUAGGGACGAUAAUGACGGUACCUAACAAGAAAGCACCGGCUAAACUACGUGCCAGCAGCCGCGGUAAU
rnacentral:rRNA from 1 species